ensembl:lncRNA
GUCCUAUAAGGAAACUAUAUUAAAGAGUGCUUAUGAGUCUUUUGGUAGAGAGUUCUUAAUUUUAAAAUAAUAAAAUCUAUCAUUUCCUUUAAAAAAAGGUAAUUACCAUAACCUCGUGUUGCAGACUGAAUUACUUAUAACUGUCAAUAUCUCCAUUUACCAUUUCAUGAAAGCAUGGUGAAUUGACAAGAGCUACUUAAGAUUUCCGCAGGCUGCAGAGAAGCUAUGUUCAGUAAAACAGAGUUUGUUUCAGAAAGUGAAGUAUUGGUCAAGGGGUUCCCAAAGGCAGCCGACAAAGUAAGGAUGAUCACAUCAUGAUAAACAUAUUUGUCACACAAUUAUGGCAUAAGCAUUUAAAACAAAAACUUCUACUUAAAAUUUUACUGAAGUGUGGAGCGCCUGGGUAGCUCAGUUGGUUAAGUGACCAACUCUUGAUUUUGGCUCAGGUCAUGAUCUCAGGGUCCUGAGAUCAAGCCCUGUGUCGGGCUCCAUACUCAGCACAUGGAGUCUGCUUGGGAUUCUCUCCCUCUGCCCCUCCCCCCAGCUCUCUGUAAAAUAAAUCUUUUAAAAAAUUUUUACUUUAGUGUAGCAAUGUGAGUCUACUUUGGGUACUAAUAUCUCCCUUGAGGCACUGAUCGAUUGUCUUGUUUCAAGUAACCUGAAGAUUGGAUAACAGUUGUAAAUCUGCAAAGAGAUUUAAAAGUAGUAAUUUUUUCUUCAUGUUUCAACAAGGAAUAAAUUCAAAUCUGGUUCUUUUCAAAGUUGUGUGACCGUCAGUGGAUUUUUCCCCCUAUGGAACUACUAUCAUAUAAAACAAAUAAGACUGCCACAGUAGGAAAACAGAAAUUUCUCAUGGUUCCCACAAGAGACCUGAACUGGCAUCAUCAAGGUACUUUUCUCCUGGGUCUUGGCAGAGAUGUAGAGAAAGUCUUGAUACCCUUUAAAGCCCUCAGAAUCCGAAGCUCUUCACAGCUUGGUGGGUCUAAGACCACUGCAGCUUCCACCAGGAAGGCAAUGGGUGCUCUGGCCCUGGGGUGCUGGGAGAGCCAGCCUGGUGACACAUCAGGCACGGAUGUGAUCCCAGAGCCUGGGGCUCACCUCUGUUUUAGUCCUGGCUCUCAGUCUGGAAGCAUUUGGGUAAUCUGUGCCCAUUUACUUGUAGGUUUGGAGAGUGGGUUCCUCACAUCUAUUCAGUACCUGAAUCUUUCUUUUGUACUUCUUCCUAUUUUAGAAUCAGUGAAGAAUUUCUUUUCACAUUCCACCCCAGCAGAGGCUGCUGAGCCAAGAUACCACCGAAAUGGAUAGAGCACAAUGUGUAAUGCACUGGAGCAAGAAGAAUGGCAGAGGAGACAUAAGUGAAUAAGAGAAAUUGCAGCAUUUUGAAAAAUAUAGAUAGAAAGCAGAGGGAGGAGUGAUAACUAAUUUAUCAGACAAGAAGCUACCAACUAAUGAGCAUGCAGAAGGGAAAACCAAUAAGAGGUAAGACACAUUACCUCCAAGAGCCCCUGAGAGGCUGCAGUCUUGAAUAUAUUAGCAGAGUAGACCCUGGGGGCACACAAAGGAGAGAAAACAGGGGAACAAGAUGAAAGUCUGUUAUUACAGUGGUUGGAUCUUCUGAUUCUGCACCGUUUCACACAGCUAGGUAUCAACUCAUCCUGGGCAGAGCCUAGAAACUCAUUUUAUGGAGAAAGUGAGGAUAAGAAGCCCUAAAUUUUGGGAUCCCAGAUGAUGCAGAAGCCAGUGAGCCUUAGGUUUGAAGAUAGAGGAAUUAAGUGAAAGUCUGAGCACUGAAGAAUGAGAGUGUGUGCCCAAUUACUCUCCCUGUACCCCAGUCUCUCACACUCAGGUGCGUUCUACCCCUCCUGCUUUCAAGUAGGCACAAGACUGAAGACCUCAGUGGAUAACCCGAACAGUCCAGAAGACAUUCAUAUUUGAGAGAAUCUCAACAAAAUGGAUAGCUGGACCAUCCUAUCACCUUAUAUAAAACUCCACAUAUGAAGUUUCCAAUGAAAGACAAACACAGAAAGAAAAAAAGAGAUCAGUGUAAACAAAGAUGAUGAUGAAGAGAAGAGACUAAAGUUAUAAAAUGCAAUGAUUAGAUAUUCCCAUCUUUCCCACUUUCUUUUCCUAGAAAAAGAAAUCAGCAGUUGGCCAGUUGCAUGGUGUGGGUGGGAUAAUCAUGCGGGAAUUUGUGCAUAUGUGCUGGAGGUGCUCCAGAAUGCAGAGUAUGGAGGUAGCAUGGUUGGGAGAUUGGAUGUGUUGAACAAAUAAGCAAACACUUCGAGGACUUUCUCACAAUUGGAAAAGGUAUCCACAACUAUGGCAUGGAGAUAGACUAGAAGCACCCAGAAGAGUAGGAUUGGAAUUGGAGCAAGCAGUAUGAAAUCAUUUUGUGUUUUAGACAGCUUUAUUGAGGAAUAGUUUACACACAAUUAAGUGUAUCUAUUUUAAGAGCCAAGUCCAAUGAGUUAUGACAAAUCAGCACAAUCAAGAAAUAGAUCAUUUCCAUCCCUCAAAAAUUCUCCUGGUGUCCCUUUACAGAGGAUUUAUGCCCCUUACCCCUCUGCCCUAAGCAACCACUGACAUGCCACUAUAGAUUAGUUUUGCCUGUUCCACAACUUCAUCUGAACGCAAUCAUACAGAAUAUAUUCUUUUCUGUCUAGCUUCUUUCAUUUAACAUGAUUUUGUGAUUCAUCCAUGUUAAAGCAUGUAUCAGCAGUUCAUUUAUUUUUAUUGUUGAGUGGUAUUCCACUGUAUGGAUAUGCCAUGAUUUUUUUAAUCCAGUCAACUGCUGGUUGGCAUUUGGGUUGUUUUGCUGUUUGUUUUUUUUUUUAGAAAUAGUUCUGAACAGUCGUGCACAUGUCUUUGAACAUAUGUUUUCAUUCUCUUAGGAAAAUACCUGAAAGUAUUUACUUACCUUACCACAUAGAAGUGUAUGUGUUAGUUGAUAUGGCACUGAAAAAUUGUUGUUCUAUUUUACAUUCACCCCAGCAAUGUAUGAGAAUUCCAUUUGAUCAACAUCUUCUCCACAGUAGAGUUUUUAAUCCUUAACCAUUUUAGUGGGUGUAUUGUGAUAUCUCCUUG